GUUAUCUUUCAAAGAACAGAGGAAUCAACAUUUUAAGUGCAUUUACUCUACUUCGGGAUCUUCUAAAGCUGCUUUAGAUGGAGUAUAAGAAACAUGGUGACGUGGUCAUCUCUACUCUUCAAGUUCAAGUGGAUGACGUGAAAAAUGUCAUGACACAAAACAUUGAAAAAGUUUUGGACAGAGAAGAAAGACUGAGUGAACUGGCUAAUCGAAGUGGCGAUCUUGAAACAGCGGCUCAUGGUUUCCAAAAAACUACUGCAAAGGUUUCAAGGAAGAUGUGGUGGAAAAACACUAAACUAAUCAUAAUUAUCGCAGUAGUUGUCCUUGCUAUUGUAGUUUUUAUUAUUCUUCUUGCCACAGGUGUUAUUCCAUCAUAAGGUACUUUUUGUUAUUAAUGACAAGCAACACACAUUCUGUAAAAAGAAGUCUUUAAUGUUCUAAAGUACUAAUAUU